AUCACUUCUCGGCCUUUUGGCUAAGAUCAAGUGUAGUAACAAUUAUGAAGAGACCUUCAGAAAUGAAACAGCAAAAGCUGUCUUUCACUGGGAUGUUGCAGCAGGCUGUAAACAGUUUAUUAUCAUUUCUUUCACACUGAAAGCAUUUCUUGAAUGUCAAAAAUGACAUCAA
rnacentral:snRNA from 1 species